rnacentral:tRNA from 1 species
AGCUUGCUAGCUCAACGGUAGAGCGACCGGCUCCAACCCGGAAGAUGUGGGUUCGAUUCCUACGCUUGCUGCCC